CUUCCAUCCCAUCUUUUGGCUUUAGAACACAGGUGCUAGAAAUUCCCUUCUCCAGGAAAUGAGCAAGUGUUUCAUUUUCCAUUCAACUGAGUGUGUUUUCAUGAAAAGGGUUGAAAGAAUACACAAUCAUAGAAUUUCUAGGUGGAAGA